UGGGGAAUAUUGCACAAUGGGCGCAAGCCUGAUGCAGCCAUGCCGCGUGUAUGAAGAAGGCCUUCGGGUUGUAAAGUACUUUCAGCGAGGAGGAAGGCAUUAAGGUUAAUAACCUUGGUGAUUGACGUUACUCGCAGAAGAAGCACCGGCUAACUCCGUGCCAGCAGCCGCGGUAAUACGGAGGGUGCAAGCGUUAAUCGGAAUUACUGGGCGUAAAGCGCACGCAGGCGGUCUGUCAAUUCGGAUGUGAAAUCCCCGGGCUCAACCUGGGAACUGCAUUCGAAACUGGCAGGCUAGAGUCUUGUAGAGGGGGGUAGAAUUCCAGGUGUAGCGGUGAAAUGCGUAGAGAUCUGGAGGAAUACCGGUGGCGAAGGCGGCCCCCUGGACAAAGACUGACGCUCAGGUGCGAAAGCGUGGGGAGCAAACA
rnacentral:rRNA from 1 species